AUUUAAUGCCGUAAGUCUGUCGGCGAGUACAAUCACCAGACGCGUUGAAGAAAUCAAAACAAAACGGUCCCAGAGCUGAUCGACCCAGAAUGGAAAUGGCACCUCGCAUUUUUAACAGACGUGACAGAAAUACUUAACAGCCUUAACUUGCAGCUACAAGGCGAGGGGAAACUCAUUUGCGACAUGUAUUCACACAUAAAAGCAUUUGAGGUGAAAUUAGCGCUGCUUUUGGAACAAGUGAAAAAGCGCAACUUCGUCCAUCUUCCUGCUACCCAAAACCUGUCGACAGAGAACCCAGCGGUCCCGUUCCCAGCUGAAAAGUGCGUGGAAGCACUGGAAAUGCUGAAGGCGGAGUUCGGUGUGCGAUUCAGUGAACUACAUGUUCAUGCAAAAGAAAUCCGUCUUUUUCAGAACCCCUUUGUUGCCGACAUUGAUGAAGCCCAGCCUUCAUAUCAGUUUGAGUUGGCUGAGUUACAGAACUGUGAUGUUCUGAAAGACGCAUUCAAGCCCAACAGUCUCAUUGACUUCUAUGCCGCCCUCCCAAACGACACAUAUCCAAACAUCAAAAAACACGCAAUGAAAAUGUCCACAGUUUUUGGCAGCACGUAUAUCUGCGAGAAAACCUUUUCUCGCAUGAAACUGCUGAAAACCCCGAUGAGAUCAAGAUUGACAGAUGAACAUUUGCAUCAGUGCUUGAGACUAGCUGUAACUAGAAUGGAACCUGAUAUUCAACUUCUCACCAGCCAGAUGCAGGCCCACAGUUCACACUGAUGAACAUACAUAGCAGGGAAGUUGAUGAGAGAGAGCUGCAAACAGCGGUGUCUACAAGCCUACUGGAACCUACAAAAGGAUUAUAAGGAAGGAACACAAUGACUUUAAGAGACUGCUCAUAUGUGUCAGAGAGAUUCUGCUCUGACAACUGAGCUGAACUUUUAUCUGUUAAGAUUGUGCAUGGCACGACAGAAAGUUAAUGUUCCAUGGCUUUUUUUCUAUGAAGAACCCAGAGAGAGUUAUUUAGUUAUUAUUUAUUUCCUGUUUUUUCUGUGAAGAACUCAGAGAGGGUUAUUUAGUUAUUAUUUAUUUCAUUAAUAGUGUUAUUAUUUGUUUCCUUUUUCUGUAAAGAACCUGGAAAUGGUUAUUUGGUUAUGUGUGGCUUUCUGGAAAACAAUACAUUUUUUAAGCUCCCCUACGAUCGUCACACUUUUUCUGUUACAAACUGACACCGGCCCCCCAUCAGAGAAGGGAAAAGUUAUGUGGCCCUCACAGGAAAAAGUUUGGGGACCCCUGGGCUAAAGUGUCGGCAGGUAGAGCUUUGGGACAGUAACGUGGAUGUGGAAUAAGGCAACAACCGGCACCUCUGAUUCAGCGGGGCUGGGUUAAAUUCGGAAGACAUUUUGGUUCAAUGCAUUCAGUUAUUCCCUUUCCCCCUUAUUAAAAUUAUGCAAAUCUAAAAGUAACUUCUAUUGCCAACUAUGUCAAAUAGCCUACAAAUCAAACAAAGACAUUGAAGCCUGCAGGUAGAAAAUAUCCUGAUAGAACAAAUCGCAUUGGCUACGCAUGGCCUGUCUGCAAAGAAAAUGAAAUUAUCAAUUUGGUCCAGCCAGUUUAUGCUAACAAACUUGCAACAUUGUAUGAAAUAUUCUGGACCCUCAGUUUUCUGCACCACUGUGCUCCAUACAGACACAGCUGUAUUUGAGCGAGGGAUGAGGGGCGCUAUUUUAUGACAUUUCCACCAAAUCAGAGCAUGACAUUUUCCCCCCUUUCAAAUGGAGUGGUUAUUGAAAGGGAGAGAGCUCUAAAAUAUGUUUCUAAUAGGCUACAUUGAGGAACUAUUGUCAUUCAAUGGAUGUAAAAACAGAGUUAAUUUACUUGCUAUUUGAGGUGAAGAAAAAUAAAUGUAUUCUCAUUUUCGGCGGUGAGUUAAGAAAAUCAGAAAUACAAUACUAUCAGAUCCCCAUCAAAUGGGCACAUUUAUAAAAGCCUACAUUUGCGUGCAGGCCAGGUACCCUCCUUAAUCAACAUCGACAGGAACGCUCAAAACAAAACAAAUACAUUGACAACUUGUAAAUAGAAUGAAAUAAACCAAAACUUGUUUUGUGUAGCCGAGGUUGUUGCUCUGUAAAACAAUGUGUCCACUACGAAAAAGACUAAUAACGCCUGAUUCUGAUUUGACAUUUUUGUCCCCCCAGUUAUCACACAUCGACGAAUGUGAUACAAAACGAGGCAACAGUGUGCUUUGCGACCAUGCAGACAAAACAGAGUGGUCAGGGAGGUUGUUUGGUGUGUUUAUCCGACUGGAUCAAAAACAUAUCUAUACACACAAAAGUUGACACAUUUAAAGGUUUUUCUUUAUUUUUACUAUUUUCUACAUUGUAGAACAACAGUGAAGACAUCAAUACUAUGAAAUGACACAUAUGGAAUAAUGUAGUACACCCCCCCCCAAAAAAGUGUUAAACAAAUCAAACUAAAUUUUAUAUUUGAGAUAUUUUAGAGUAGCCACCCUUUGACUUGAUGACAGCAUUGCACACCCAUGGCCAUCUCUCAACCAGCUUCAUGAGGUAGUCACCUGGAAUGCUUUUAAAAAGUUAAAUGUGUGGAAUUUCUUUUCUUAAUGCGUUUGAGCCAAUCAGUUGUUGUGACAAGGUAGGGUGUGUAUAGGGAUAUUGAAGGUUACAUAGGUAACCACGGUUAUGUGAGCUAUUUGGAUCACUCCAAUAAACUGAGCAAAGAAAAUGUC